AGAACUGCAACGACAGGAAGCCAGACACUUCAGUAUCAGAGCAACACAAGCACUAUAUCCAUACAUCUAUAAUAGAACAGCUCAUUUCAGGAGUAAAGCGUUUACUCACUCCUGCUCACCUGUGAUAAGCACAUCCUGGCUAUACCAAGCAUGUUCCAGGUUAUUAUAUUAUAAAGAGACUCGUGCAUUUAAUGAAGGGCAGAUCUCUUCUGAUUAAUCUUAUACCCACAAUUCUGCAUGACCACCAAGACUGGCACGCGUGUAAUCUACUAAAGGUGUCUGUGCCCCAUUAGUGCUGAGCAUGCCACUGCCCGGCCUGGAGCACCACCAAGAGUAAUGAAGCUACGAAUGCUGCCUCCUUCUCCUGCCUGUUUUCAGCACCGUCAGCUAAAGAACAAACCAGCGCUCCACUUUUUGUAUGUAUGUAAUCCCCUCACAGCUUCCUUUUACUUUUAAAUAAACCUUCUUUGUUUUUUUCACAUUUAA